rnacentral:rRNA from 1 species
GCUCCAAUAGCGUAUAUUAAAGUUGUUGCGGUUAAAAAGCUCGUAGUUGGAUUUCUGCCGAGGACGCGUUCCUUCCUUCGUUGGUCGGGACGCGGAGUCGGCGCAGUUACUUUGAAAAAAUUAGAGUGUUCAAAGCAAGCUUCACGCUGUGAAUACUAUAGCAUGGAAUAACGCGAUAGGACUCCGUGCCUAUUGUGUGG